GGGCGGGCAGAGUGCAGCCCUGAGGAGGAGAGAGGAGGAUGGGGCGGCCGAUCGGUUGGCGAGCGUUCCCCUCGCUACGAAGGCCUCAAAGAGUCCGUCCAGGCAUGCCCUGGGACUCGUUUGGUGAAGAGCUUCGGGCCCCCCUGCGGAUGCCUCCCGGGUCUCACCGGUGCUGCCCUGGCUGGCCCGGCUGUCCCCGGGGCUCGUUAUUGAUUGCUGGGCCUCGCUUUCUCCAUCCCACGCUGUACUGCGGUGUCUCUCAUCUCUCUACCCUGAACCCCCCACUCCUGCCCGCCUUCUACCCUCAUGUCGCUGCUUUUUAAUUUGUUUUUAUCAUUUUUUUGCAAAGCGUCUUGAAUUGCAAUUGCCUUUAGAUGCAAGGUAAAUUUAAAUUGUUGUUGUUGUCUCUAUAUCAAGGUAUGUCAGGCCACAGACUUUGAUAACCACUUCGUAGGAUGUCCCAAUUGUCAAACAUUGAUACUCAACGGCAUCCUAUUUGUGCAACCUUGCUGAUUUGUUAUUCCGAGUCAAGCAAUGGAUUUAAGCCAGAAAGUUUUUACAAUGUACAUUUGCUUUUCACGGGAAAUUGAUCGAAAAAAUAAGGAAAACUUAUAAUGCUCGUUUUUUUUUUGGAAAGACAUCUUUCAUGACCGUGUCAUCGCCUCAUCAUGAUUACGUGAACGUGUUCACGCCAUGUUUGUCUAUGUCGUCGCAAUAAACACAAGAUUAAUGUUC